ACCACUUUGGUAUUUGAAGCUGAC
rnacentral:siRNA from 1 species